rnacentral:rRNA from 1 species
UACAGGGGGGUGCAAACGUUGCUCGGAAUCAUUGGGCGUAAAGCGCACGUAGGCGGUUCGUUAUGUCGGAUGUGAAAGCCCUUGGCUUAACCGAGGAAGUGCAUCCGAAAACUGGCGAGCUAGAGUACGAAAAGAGGAUCGCGGAAUUCCCCGGUGUAGAGGUGAAAUUCGUAGAUAUCGGGAGGAACACCGGUGGCGAAGGCGGCGAUCUGGGGUCGAUACUGACGCUGAGGGUGCGAAAAGCGUGGGGGAGCAAAACAGG